rnacentral:rRNA from 1 species
UUUGCCCUACGGGGCGCAGCAGUGGGGGAUAUUGGACAAUGGGGGAAACCCUGAUCCAGCGAUGCCGCGUGAGGGAAGAAGGUUUUCGGAUUGUAAACCUCUGUGGAGGGGGACGAUAAUGACGGUACCCCUUUAGGAAGCCACGGCUAACUACGUGCCAGCAGCCGCGGUAAUACGUAGGUGGCGAGCGUUAUCCGGAUUUAUUGGGUGUAAAGGGCGUGUAGGCGGGAAUGCAAGUCAGAUGUGAAAACUAUGGGCUCAACCCAUAGCCUGCAUUUGAAACUGUAUUUCUUGAGUGCUGGAGA